AGAGUUUGAUUCUGGCUCAGGAUGAACGCUAGCGACAGGCUUAACACAUGCAAGUCGAGGGGCAGCAUGAACUUAGCUUGCUAAGUUUGAUGGCGACCGGCGCACGGGUGAGUAACGCGUAUGCAACUUACCUAUCAGAGGAGAAUAGCUCAUCGAAAGAUGAAUUAAUGCUCCAUAAAACAGGGGUCCCGCAUGGGAAUAUUUGUUAAAGAUUCAUCGCUGAUAGAUAGGCAUGCGUUCCAUUAGGCAGUUGGCGGGGUAACGGCCCACCAAACCGACGAUGGAUAGGGGUUCUGAGAGGAAGGUCCCCCACAUUGGUACUGAGACACGGACCAA
rnacentral:rRNA from 1 species